rnacentral:rRNA from 1 species
GACGAACGCUGGCGGCGUGCUUAACACAUGCAAGUCGAACGGAAAGGCCCUGCUUUCGUGGGGUGCUCGAGUGGCGAACGGGUGAGUAACACGUGAGUAACCUGCCCUGGACUUUGGGAUAACUUCAGGAAACUGGGGCUAAUACCGGAUAGGAGCUCCUGCUGCAUGGUGGGGGUUGGAAAGUUUCGGCGGUUGGGGAUGGACUCGCGGCUUAUCAGCUUGUUGGUGGGGUAGUGGCUUACCAAGGCUUUGACGGGUAGCCGGCCUGAGAGGGUGACCGGCCACAUUGGGACUGAGAUACGGCCCAGACUCCUACGGGAGGCAGCAGUGGGGAAUAUUGCACAAUGGGCGGAAGCCUGAUGCAGCAACGCCGCGUGCGGGAUGACGGCCUUCGGGUUGUAAACCGCUUUCGCCUGUGACGAAGCGUGAGUGACGGUAAUGGGUAAAGAAGCACCGGCUAACUACGUG